rnacentral:rRNA from 1 species
AAUAUUGGACAAUGGUGGCAACCCUGAUCCAGCCAUGCCGCGUGUGUGAAGAAGGUCUUCGGAUUGUAAAGCACUUUAAGUUGGGAGGAAGGGCUUUAGGUUAAUACCCUGAAGUUUUGACGUUACCAACAGAAUAAGCACCGGCUAACUCUGUGCCAGCAGCCGCGGUAAUACGGAGGGUGCAAGCGUUAAUCGGAAUUACUGGGCGUAAAGCGCGCGUAGGUGGUUCAGUAAGAUGGGUAUGAAAGCCCGGGCUUAACCUGGGAAAUGCUUUCAUAACUGCUGAGCUAGAGUACGGUAGAAGGUAGUGGAAUUUCCGGUGUAGCGGUGAAAUGCGUAGAUAUAGGAAGGAACACCAGUGGCGAAGGCGACUACAUGGACUGAUACUGAAACUGAGGUGCGAAAGCGUGGGGAGCAAAC